CCCUUAGAUGUCCUGGGCUGCACGCGCGCUACACUGAUGUGUCCAGUAAGCACCUAACCUCUUCCGAAAGGAACGGGUAACCUUUGCAAAGCACAUCCUGAUGGGGAUAGAUUAUUGCAAUUAUUAGUCUUGAACGAGGAAUUCCUAGUAAGCACAAGUCAUCAGCUUGUGUUGAUUACGUCCCUGCCCUUUGUACACACCGCCCGUCGCUCCUACCGAUUGAAUGUUCCGGUGAGCUCUUCGGACUGCGCGGUCUGCAGUUUCUGCGUUCCGUGCGGAAAGUUGCGCAAACCUUAACAUUUAGAGGAAGGAGAAGUCGUAACA
rnacentral:rRNA from 1 species